CUUAGUCAUCCUUAGUCACCUGCUCUGUAACCGUCCUUCCUGAGGAAACUACCCACCCCGCCACUCUGGCUUGCACCCCUGUCCUCUUUGAAGUAGCCAGUCAAAAUUAGCUUAGAGUGUGCAGUACAACCCUAUCCAAUAGGGGAAAGAUACAGCAGUAGGGACUAUCUGUAUUAGGAAUAAGAACCCUUUCCCCUCCCUUAUCCAGUGUGCCCUUGCCAUUGCUCCAUCUGCAAGACUCACCCUUCUAUAGAAGUAAAUUUGCCUUGCUGGAGUGUUAACUUGUUGUUGGAGUGCUAACUCUUCUUUGUGGCACCAAAAAGUUAUUUCCAACACGAAGCUGCACCCUUGGUGGAGGGAACAUCUGACGAAGUUCAAUGUUUGGGGAAAACAAUAUCUGGAAAGAUUGAAGAGUCAGCAGGAGAAACACCUAGGAAAAUUACAAGGCCUGUGAAAGAAACAUCUGAGAAAUUUGCAUGGCCACAAGAAAGACCUACAAAGACCACAUGGGAGGAAAAAGAAACAUCUGUAAAGACUGAAUGCGUGGCAGGAGUAACAUCUAAUAAAACUGAAGUUUUGGAAGAAGGAACAUCUAAGAUGAUCACAUGUCCUACAAAAAAACAGCUACAAAAGCAAGUACACAUGUUCCUCAGUGUGGCUGGCCUAGAUAUUGACCCUACACAGUUGCCUCCUCCUGGUGACUACCAGCUAUGGAACCGUUGGAUACAACCUACCUGACUCACCCCACAGACCUCACAGCACACAUGGACAGACCCCACACGCCAGAGUGACCUGCUCGGUUGCAGCGGGAGUCAAGAAAUGUGCCUGCUGGCACUCACCCCACAGACUAGUGCCCCGUGGAAAACUUAUUUGGGUAAUGUUCUGGGCCGAAUAAAGGCUGGAGUCCCACAGACCCCUUUUCUCUCUCCUGCUCCCCACUCAUCUUCCCCAUUUUGUUCAGCCCUAUGAGGUGUGCUACUGUAUUAGUCCGUUUUCACACUGCUGGUAAAGACAUGCCCAAGACUGUGUAAUUUCCAGAAGACAGAGUUUUAAUAGACGCACAGUUCCACAUGGCUGGGUAGGCCUCACAAUCAUGGUGCAAGGUGAAAGGCAAGUCUCACAUGGCAGCAGACAAGACAAGAGAGCUUGUGCAGGGAAACUCCCCUUUAUAAAACCAUCAGAUCUUGUGAGACUUAUUCACUAUCAGAAGAACAGCAUGGGAAAGACCUGCCCCCAUGA
rnacentral:lncRNA from 1 species